CAAAGGAAGGGGGAGUAUG
rnacentral:miRNA from 1 species